AGUACAUUUCCAAGGAAAUGAUCCAAAGGGCGAAGAAGGGGGAGAACUUGCAGAAAGAUGUUAACAGCAGGGCUAUUCACAAUGUUCGUGAUGACCAAAACCUGGGAAUGGGCCCAGUUGUCCAACAAUUGAGUAACCCAAACAGGCGCCUUCACAUUAACAGCAAGAAUCCUGGCAGGUGAUGUAAUGAGGACUCAUAUAUAUGCACAUGGAGUGAAUAAAUGAAUUAAGGAAUGGAUGGGUGAAAACAACGAACUGUGAAUGGUCCAGCCAUCACCAAUAAGACACGUAACAACUUUUCCCAUCUCGCUUCACGCUGCCAGGCAACGCAGGCUGGCAUUGUUGUAGUGAGUUGCUUCUGUUCCACACAAGCCAGGAUUUAAUAACAGAAUAAAGGAAUGAACUCGCAA